AGCCGCAGCUCCGAUUCGACCCCUAGCCUGGGAACCUCCAUCUGCUGCAGGUGCGGCCCUUAAAAUAAAAUAAAAUAAAAGGCACAUACAUUUAUCUGUCUCCUCAACUAGAAUGUUAGUUCAGUGGAGCAGAACUUUAUCGUGUGUGUGUGUGUGUGUGUUAUGCGUGCCUGGUGCUUAGAGCAAUUUCUCAUGCAUAGUAGACACCAGCCUCAUCCUCUAUCUGAGCAAUUUUUCCCAUGUGUGCAUAGUUUUGCAGAUUUUGUAGCACAUUUAUCACUCACUUUCUUAUUUUAUCCACCAGUCUUGUGUUGGCUCCUUGUUUGCUUCUGACAUGGCCAUUGCAUGAAAAGCACCCCAGCUCCUCUUUGGGUGUGUCUGCCUUUUGUACUUCUCACUCUCUUCUUAUUUUAGCUCUUCUCCCUGUGUACAUGGCAUCAUAUUUUGAUAACCUCCACUUAUCUAGCUCAUUUGUGUUUAAUCAAUGUUUUGUUGUUUGGGGUCUGCCUAGAAUUUUAGGUGUUGCUCUUGGACCCACCAUCACAACCAGGUACCCUCUCUGUACCUUGAGCCUUAGCCCCUGAAGCCCUAGGCUGCCCUCCAGCUCCUUCUUGUUGGGGAAGUGCAUGUAAGGUUUUGUUUCUUAGAAACUAUUCUCCUGAGACAUCUUGCUUCCAAGAAAGUGAACUUCCCUAGACAUCUGAACUUCCCGUCCCAUCACAUGGACUUGAGCAAGACAGAUUCUCAAGUCUGAAGGGAACUAUUACAGCGUAGCCUCCUUAAAGCUCCUCUCAGAGCAGAGGAUACGAGAGCUUGCUCUUCAUUAUCUCUUAGGUGCAGGAUCAUAUAUUCUUCAGGAAUCAUUGUUACUUGUAAUUUUUUGUGGCCUCUCAGUAACACACACACACACACACACACACACACACAAGUUUAAUGGAAAUUUUCAAACUAGUAGAGAGAAUUAACUCUCAUGUUCUCCUGCUCUGGCUUUAACAAUUAGCAAUUCAUGGCCAACUUUUGUUUUCUCUAUACCUCUACCCACUCCUGUGGUUCUGGCUUGUUUUGAAGCAAACCCCAGACAUCAUAUUAUUUCCUUUGUAGCUGUCAGAAUGUACUGCUAAAAGAGAAGGACUCCAUCUUAAACAUAACUUUAACAUAAUCCUAAAUGCUUCCCGAUAGCAGCAACAAUUUCUUAGUGUCAUCUUUUUAAAAUAGCUGAUUUGUUUGAAUGGCGGUUUGCAAAGGAAAAAAGGGGUCAUGGAUGCUUCAAAGAUCCUUCGUAUUUUUUAGUAAAGUAUUUACUUUUAAUUCAGCAUGAACAUGUUGGCACCUGGGGAGUAGAAGAGCAGAUCGUUAAAAAAGUCGUGAAUCAAUAUAGGUCAAAAAAUGAAGUAGAUCUCGCUGCUCUAGACAUUAUCUUCCUUAAGACCCCAUCCUCUGAGCUGACCCAUACCCUGACAGCAUGCUCAUCCCGUGAUCCCCAGAGGACCAUUUACCCCAGUCUCCCCUUGGAGAGACUCUGCCGCCAUUUUACAAGCAGCCUCAGGGUAACCUUUUGCACUGUUUCCCUCUGUCCAUGGUGCUGACCUGCCAGCCAGAGGAACUAUAACUUGCUUUGGGCCAUUGGGAUCUAAUGUAGAGUUACCAUCAAAGUGAACAUUAAAUAUACAUUAAAUAGUUCCAGGAAGAGCUGUCUAUGCUUAUACUCUGUUUGGAAAAAAAAAAAAAAAAGCAAAAACAAGCUGAAAGUGACAAGUAAAAAGGUUGAGUAUGUGUGUAUUGGUUUCUCUAUCUCAGACAUAGUAUAAAUAUUUUCAAAUAUGACCUCUUAACCAAGCUAUAAUGAGUUGAAAUAAAUUCCCAUUUCACAAAUUAAAAAUUGCCUCUCCCACUGGUUCACUAAUGCAGGUCUGAUAAUUGACAGAAUAACAACCGUUAAAAUGUUCCAAUUCCUUUCACUCCAUUGAGCAAAACAAUAAUGAGAAACUCUCAGUUAUUUCUUGAUAUGCAUGUAUAGUUGUCGACACUUUUUUUUUUUGGUGCAUCUCUCUACGAGGCCCCAUGCUAGGCACUAGUGGAUAGACAGAGCCAUAAGUCAUAACCUUGUUAUGCACAGUAUUAAUGGCAAAAUGGGGAAAUUAGUCACAGAAUUGUCAUAUACUAGAAAAAAUGUUGGGAUAGAAGGAUGUGUGUGGGCCUGUGACAGUGUAGAGUGUAGCCUCUGUUGGCUACCAGGAAAAGCUUCAUAGAGGGAAUCUUUUUUUUUUUUUUUUUUGUAGUGUUGAAAUUUUUUAUUUUAAAUGAAAAAUCAAUAGACUACCUAAGUCCCUCUAAAUUUCUGACUACGAAGAAGUUAAAACAGCAAACGAGGCCAAACAAAAAUUUCACUCUAAAUCCAAGAGGCAGAAAAACUUGUGCCAGUUCUCAGAUGUAUUCAAUUGGGGCAGAAGCCAAGCUCUGGCUAUUUUCAUAGUGAGUAUACAGGGGGUUGAAAUAGUAUUACCAAGUUCUUGCCACGUAGGGCACCCUAAAUAAACAAAAUAGCCUCAAUCCAGUUUGCUAGCCCUGAUGAUUACAUGUGCUCCAUGUGGUAGAAUUUCUUCUGUUUUUUUUUUUCAAUUUGAAGUCUUUUUAAAAUUACUCAAUGGACUUUAUUACAUUUAUAGUUGUACAGCGAUCAUCACAAGAGGGACUCUUGAAGGAUGGUUCGCAGAAGGGAAAAGAAAGGUGUUCCAAAGAGAGGUACCAUCGUGAACACAGAGCACAAAUACCUCCUGAUCAUCAGGGUGUGAUAAGAAUUCACUGGCCAGUCUCCUUGGAUAUUUCUUCUGAACUGUGCUAUUUGAUUCGGCACCACCAGUGGACUCAGGAGGAGGAUACAUUUCAAAAUCUGAAUUCAUAUCCAAAGGGGACUCAGCUUCUUGCGGUUUGAGCCUCAGAGCUUCUCGAAAGUCAGCGGUCCUUACAGGAGACUGUCUUUGAUUUCACAAGAAGCCUCUAACAACCUGUUUUCAUUUAUUGGAUGUGCCAAUUUCCCUGGUGUAAAUACUGCUGUGGCUGAUUUCAAGCACAAUGUGAUGUCACCAAAAGUGGAUUAGGGAAGAAGUGCUUACAGCAGCCCUCCUGAGUCCAGUCAUAUGAGUCAGGGCAUGCUUUGGGUCCACUCAACAAAUUAUCUCCAAGUUUUUCAGAGCCACCCUGGAAGGAUGGAGACAGUGACAAGGUAGAAAAAGUCUUGCUUUUUCUUUAGCACAACAUUCCAGAGAAUAAACUCUUUUGAUUUUUCCAGGUCCCCAAAUUAGUCUUCACAUGUGUUUGUCCCACUAUUCAGGUUUUUAACGUAGUAUCCAUGAUUUAAAUGUCAAGAACUCUGCUUAUUUUUAUUGUUGGCAGUCUAAUUUUGAUUUAAGAAUAUGAUAUCUACUCAACAAUCUCUCAGUGUGUUAAUUAUACUUAUUUUAGAGUUUUCUUCUGAUUUAUUUUUUAUUUUUUAUUUUUUAGGGCCGCACCUGUGGCCUGUGGAAAUUGUCACACUAGGGGUCAAAUUGGAGCUGCAA